rnacentral:rRNA from 1 species
AAGUGGAGCAAUCCAUGAGUAAAGUGGCGACCGGGUGAGUAACACGUGACUAACCUACCUUCGAGUGGGGGAUAACAUCGGGAAACCGAUGCUAAUACCGCAUAACAUCGCAAGAUCAAAGCAGCAAUGCGCUUAAAGAGGGGGUCGCGGCUGAUUAGCUAGUUGGCGGGGUAACGGCCCACCAAGGCGAAGAUCGGUAUCCGGCCUGAGAGGGCGCACGGACACACUGGAACUGAAACACGGUCCAGACUCCUACGGGAGGCAGCAGUGGGGAAUUUUGCGCAAUGGGGGAAACCCUGACGCAGCAACGCCGCGUGGAGGAUGAAGUCCCUUGGG